AUCUCGAAUUAUAAUCCUUACAAACAAACAUGGCCUUUGAGUAUUCUUGAUGAAACCUUAUUCUUUUAUUAUAUAGGUAUAUUAAAACUCAUACAAAUACAUAAUUCAAUCGAUAUCAAAAUAUGACAAGGCAAAUUUUGAGUCGCUUUACUUGGUUCCGAAUUAACUCGUCAGUUCAACUUUGAUGACUCGAUAGCCCAAAUUCUGACUAUUUUUUGUUUGUUUUUGUACACGAAUUUUAGCACAUUUUUCUACUAAAGAUACAAUAUAUUCAACUAAUAAUUGAUAUAAUUUUAAUAAUUCUUUGAUAUUUUAUAUAUCAUCCAACUCAAACACAUUUUAAUUCAUUAUAAAUAAUACUCUAUCUAGACACCCAAUUAUACACAAAAAUCUAGAAAC
rnacentral:lncRNA from 1 species